UAGGGAAUCUUCCACAAUGGACGCAAGUCUGAUGGAGCAACGCCGCGUGAGUGAAGAAGGUUUUCGGAUCGUAAAGCUCUGUUGUUGGUGAAGAAGGAUAGAGGCAGUAACUGGUCUUUAUUUGACGGUACUCAACCAGAAAGUCACGGCUAACUACGUGCCAGCAGCCGCGGUAAUACGUAGGUGGCAAGCGUUGUCCGGAUUUAUUGGGCGUAAAGCGAGCGCAGGCGGAAUGAUAAGUCUGAUGUGAAAGCCCACGGCUCAACAGUAGAACUGCAGCGGAAACUGUUAUUCUUGAGUGCAGAAGAGGAGAGUGGAAGUCCAUGGGUAGCGGGGGAAUGCGUAGAUAUAUGGAAGAACACCAGUGGCGAAGGCGGCUCUCUGGGCUGCAACUGACGCUGAUGCUCGAAAGCAUGGGUAGCGAACAGG
rnacentral:rRNA from 1 species